rnacentral:misc_RNA from 1 species
GAUGAAGAACGUAGCGAAAUGCGAUAAGUAAUGUGAAUUGCAGUAUUCAGUGAAUCAUCGAAUCUUUGAACGCACCUUGCGCCCUUUGGCCAUUCCGAAGGGCAUGCCUGUUUGAGUAUCAUGAACACCUCAACUCUUUAUGGUUUUCCAUGAUGAGCUUGGACUCUGGGGGUUUUGCUGGCUCACAGUCGGCUCCUCUAAAAUGAAUCAGCUUACCAGUGUUUGGUGGGUAUCAUGGGUGUGAUAACUAUCUACGCUUGUGGUUUUUCCACCAGGUAACCUUCAGCAGUGGAGGUUCGCUGGAGCUCAUAGAUGUCUCUCCUCAGUGAGGACAGCCCUUUGAAUGUUUGAUCUCAAAUCAGGUAGGACUACCCGCUGAACUUAAGCAUAUCAAUAAGCGGAGGA